rnacentral:lncRNA from 1 species
UUGGAUUGAUUUCACUCAAUCCAAGCCCCACAUUCAUCAGGAAUUUAUUUUCAAAAAGAGCUCUAUCCGAUUUUAAAAGGGGACUCAGACAAAUUUGGGGAAAAAGGGUUGAAAGGUUUCUUAAAUAAAACUUCUGGUUUUCAGAUUCUUUUUCUUCUUUAAAGAGUUCUUUCAAGGUUUAAGGGGAACAAAUAAACAAAUUUUUUAUUUUUGAAUCCGGUUUUUGAAUGCCUAAGAAAUAGACAUGAAUGGAGGUUGUUCAAUUGGUGGUUAGAUUUAAGUUCGUCGACUUUGAUUUUCUACUGUCGUCUUGCUAGUUGCUGAUAAGCCUCGUUAGGAUUUGGAGUCGAAAGGCGUGUUGUCGAAUCUGUAAUUAUUACAGGAAGUUUAAAAUAUCAGGUUAAGUUUCUUUUCUCUUCUACAUUUCUGUUUUAAAGUGGCUUGAACCAUGAGAUUUUGUUCGAUGGUAUUCUGCAAGUGAAGGAGAAACAGUCGAAUCUGUAAUUAUUACAGGAAGUUUAAAAUAUCAGGUUAAGUUUCUUUUCUCUUCUACAUUUCUGUUUUAAAGUGGCUUGAACCAUGAGAUUUUGUUCGAUGGUAUUCUGCUCCGUGAUUGAAUUUUUGUUGAUGAAUUUCUUCUCAAUGGUAUGAUGUGCUUGAGUAGAUCCAACCAGUAGAAGCUGAGUCUGAAGAGUUGCCCUCUGUGCUUUUGCUUUAAUUGCUAUCAUGCUGUCGAGUUUUCAUUUACGUCAAGAUUUCGAGUUAAUUAUCUGAGUUUAAAGGUCUAUUGGAAUGGUUCUGGUGUGGAAAUUUGACAGCCUGUUCAAAGUUGGAUGUCUGUUUGAGUUGCUGCAUCACUGAACAUUAUCAGUUCUUUCUCUGCUGAUUUGAGUUUUUAAUUUGUUGUGCCUAGAUCAAUAUAGGAUUUGUGGUUCCUCUUUAGCUUCAAUACAAGCUCAUGAAAUCAGUAAACGGUUGUUUUUUGGUGUUUAUCACGACCUGCUAUGAAAGUUUAGAAAUAAGCAAUUCAAUGCUUGUUUUAAAGCUGUAGCUGGUCUAAAUUGCAGCUGUUAAAGGGGGUGCUAUUGCUGGACUCAUUGCAGCUCCAUUUCUUCCUAACUCAAUCAGAAAUAGAUAGAUUUUGUGGUUAUUCAUGCAGGUUCAAGUUUUCAGCUGUUGGAAUAUAGUCCAUGCUCAUGUUAACAGUAUGCUGCAGUUCUGAUUUGCUAGUCUAUGUUACUGGGUUGCUCUCAUGUUAAAGGGAUGUCUGUAUACUCCCAAGUCAUGUCAUUUUUCAUUGUUUCUGUUUUGCAUUCAAAAUUAUAAGAAAAUUAUGUCAGUAACUUGGUAUCUAUUGAUUGUUUGCUUUAAUCCCUGUAUGCUGUAUACAGUUGAGUGUGUCACUGACUUGAGGAUCCAUUACAGUCCUUUGUAUGCAUUUUGCUGUUAAGUUGUGAUUUC